CCAAAUUUAGAACGAACGAACGCUUUGACACAAGCCGAUGCGUUACCAUGAAAUAGAUAAGUUCACGUAAAUGAUGCGAAUUUGCUCGGAAAAUAUGUGUAUUGAUGGAGUAACAUGAAAGACAAAGGAUUCUAACAGCGAUGGCAAAAGAAAGUGAAUGCUUGGAGGACGGGAAUAGUCAAGAACUUCAAGACAAAACAGCAAACGCCGCUGUGACAGCACUACUCACCCUCAAUCCUGUCUAAGAACGAAAGCCUGUCUGAGAACGAGACCAUAACUAGUUUCGAGAACUGGAAGCUUACUCUACACCUUGUCUCUCAAUGCGAACUUUUCACCUUAUUUAGCCGAUGAUGCCUGUACUU